UACGGAGGGGGCUAGCGUUGUUCGGAAUUACUGGGCGUAAAGCGCACGUAGGCGGCUUUGUAAGUUAGAGGUGAAAGCCCAGGGCUCAACCCUGGAAUUGCCUUUAAGACUGCAUCGCUUGAACAUCGGAGAGGUAAGUGGAAUUCCGAGUGUAGAGGUGAAAUUCGUAGAUAUUCGGAAGAACACCAGUGGCGAAGGCGACUUACUGGACGAUUGUUGACGCUGAGGUGCGAAAGCGUGGGGGAGGCAAAACAGGAUUGAGAAACCCUUAGUA
rnacentral:rRNA from 1 species